rnacentral:rRNA from 1 species
UACAGAGGUCUCAAGCGUUUGUUCGGAUUCAUUGGGCGUAAAGGGCGUGUAGGUGGUUUCGUAAGUCUGGCGUGAAAUUUUUCGGCUUAACCGGGAAAGGUCGUCGGAUACUGCGGAACUAGAGGACGGUAGAGGCGUGUGGAAUUCCGGGUGUAGUGGUGAAAUGCGUAGAGAUCCGGAGGAACACCAGUGGCGAAGGCGACACGCUGGGCCGUACCUGACACUGAUGCGCGACAGCAUGGGGAGCAAACAGG